rnacentral:misc_RNA from 1 species
CUGAAUUUCGCACAGCCGAGUGCAGAAAAAAUGAAACGCAAAUUCUAGAGUAAAAUACCUGAACACGUCACAAAAACAGGCAAAACAGGCACAAAAGAAUGAAAAUGAUCCACAAUCUAGCAACCUCCUCCACCACCGCCAGCUCGCGGCUCCUCCUCCUCGUCUCCUCCUCUCUUUCCAAACCCUUCAUAUGUCUCUCCAAAAAGCUUCAAUUUUCUUCUUCUAAACCUAUUACUUCCCCUCAGAACUCCAGGCCUAUCUCCUAUUACCGGGCCCCAAUGAAUAUCCUCAACAAACUCGGUUUUGGCGCUAGGUCCUCUGACCCAUCUACCAUCGACCCAACAAUCCCUCAGAGCCCGGACGACGACCUGCCAGCCGCUGGUCAGCAGUUCGUGCAGUUUGGAGCUGGCUGUUUCUGGGGGGUUGAAUUGGCCUUCCAGAG